AUUCAUCUGACGAGUCGCAAAUGGGACGAAAUGCACUUCCUGAAU
rnacentral:hammerhead_ribozyme from 1 species